rnacentral:rRNA from 1 species
GAUGAACGCUGGCGGCGUGCCUAACACAUGCAAGUCGAACGGAACUUUUUUAGAAUGAGACUUCGGUUGAAUGAAGAUUAAGUUUAGUGGCGGACGGGUGAGUAACGCGUGAGCAACCUGCCUUUCAGAGGGGGACAACAGCUGGAAACGGCUGCUAAUACCGCAUAUUGUACACUGAUCGCAUGGUUGGUGUAUGAAAGAUUUAUCGCUGAAAGAUGGGCUCGCGUCUGAUUAGCUAGUUGGUGAGGUAAUGGCUCACCAAGGCGACGAUCAGUAGCCGGACUGAGAGGUUGAACGGCCACAUUGGGACUGAGAUACGGCCCAGACUCCUACGGGAGGCAGCAGUGGGGAAUAUUGGGCAAUGGGCGCAAGCCUGACCCAGCAACGCCGCGUGAAGGAAGAAGGCUUUCGGGUUGUAAACUUCUUUGACCAGGGAAGAAACAAAUGACGGUACCUGGAAAACAAGCCACGGCUAACUACGUGCCAGCCGCCGCCGUAACAC